AGCACAGUGGUUAGUGCAGUCUGCGGGAAACAGAAAGACGCGGGUUCAAUUCCCGU
rfam:Nippostrongylus brasiliensis genome assembly, scaffold: NBR_scaffold0002040